AUAAUAUUAACAACAAAGGUUUUUACCAGUAGCUUUUUCAUACAUAUUAAUGUCUGAUAUGUCCCCUAUCUUGGGGACCAUAUAUUAAAUAGAUUUUUAGAACAGGGAGAUGAAAUAGGGGCCUGCUCCAUCCACUCCACGCAUCGACCUGGUAUUGCAGUACUUCCAGGAGCGGUGCACUUUCU
rnacentral:snRNA from 1 species